rnacentral:rRNA from 1 species
CCCUUAGAUGUCCUGGGCCGCACGCGCGUUACACUGAUGCAUGCAACGAGCUUAUAACCUUGGCCGAGAGGCCUGGGCAAUCUUGUUAACGUGCAUCGUGAUAGGGAUAGAUUAUUGAAAUUAUUAAUCUUGAACGAGGAAUUCCUAGUAAACGCAGAUCAUCAAUCUGCAUUGAUUACGUCCCUGCCCUUUGUACACACCGCCCGUCGCACCUACCGAUUGGAUGGUCCGGUGAAGCCUCGGGAUUGUGGUUCUUGCCGCUUUAUUGUGGCGUGACCGCGAGAACUUGUCUAAACCUUAUCAUCUAGAGGAAGGUGAAGUCGUAACA